AUUAGAAACUUAAUGAAUGCCAAGAUAUGGUCGCAGAAACGGCAGUACAUUUUUAAAGUUUACAUCAAGAACGACCUUUAAUGUUACGUAGCCGUGCUAUUCAGCAGAUCGUUACUGGAUUUAGAGAGCCACGGGCGGAAAGGAAGAGACACUCGUCUGUUGUCCCGAAAACCCCUCAGUGCCUUGGCUUCGCGGGGAAAUGGUUGCCUUUGUGCAAGUGGAUCGGCCUGGCCUCUCUUCAUUUGCCUUGUCUUUUAUUUUUCCAAGGAAAAAAUAUCAGCAGAGAAAGUUCCAGACUUUCUCUUCCCAUGCAGCCUUGUUUUCUGUAUUUAGCAAAUGCCAAACAUCGACCAUGUCUGCAAAUUUCCUCUCGGGUGUAGAGAGCAAGAAGCUUGAAUUUCUGGUCUCUCUUGCAAUGGGGAGUGACAAGAUAGACAAUGUUCUGGCCAAAGAGACAAAGGAAAUGAACAAAGGUCUACUGAGAAGGUAAAAGGCAAAAUAGUUGGGGCCUGGGCAAUUGUUUGCUUGACCCCUUAAUAACUUCCUAGAAAGCAGAUGUGAUGUCCAUGCAAGCCAUCUUGUGAGCUCCAAGCAACAAAUGAGACUGGGUGUCAACAAAUUGAGCUUGGUGUGUGGAAAGAGAGAGAAGGGGUCCCUGACAGCAUGUGAGCCCUGAGUUUUCUGUUCUUUACAGCUGAAAGCAUCCCUAAGUGACAUAUUGUAAUUAAAAUCUGGGAAAAUUAGGGGUACGUGAGUGGCUCGGUCGGUUAAGCAUCCGACUUGGGCUCGGGUCAUGAUCUCGCGGUUCAUGAGUUUGAGCCCCGCGUCGGACUCUGUGCUGGCAGCGUGGAGCCUGGAGCCGGCUUCAGAUUCUGCGUCUCCCUCUCUCUCUGUCCCUCCCCUGCCCCUGCUGACACUCUGUCUUUCCUUCUCUCUCAAAAAUAAAUAAAUGCUAAAAACAAUUUUAAAAAAUAAA
rnacentral:lncRNA from 1 species